AACGAACGUUGAUGGCGUGCCUCAUACAUGCAAGUCGAGCGCCCCGCAAGGGGAGCGGCGGACGGGUGAGUAACACGUAAAGAAUCUGCCCGAAAGUAGGGGAAUAACUAUCCCAACGGAUAGCUGAUACCGCAUGACGAUGGAGGGGGCGAUCCCCUUUUCUCAAAAGGCUUCGGCCGCUUUCGGAUGACUUUGCGUCCCAUUAGCUUGUUGGCGGUGUAACGGACCACCAAGGCGACGAUGGGUAUCCGGCCUGAGAGGGUGUACGGACACAUUGGGACUGAGAUACGGCCCAGACUCCUACGGGAGGCAGCAGUAGGGAAUUUUGCGCAAUGGGGGAAACCCGUGACGCAGCAACGCCAUGUGUGGGAUGAAGCAUUUCGCUGUGUAAACCACUGUCAGC
rnacentral:rRNA from 1 species